ensembl:snRNA U6 U6 spliceosomal RNA
CCACUUCAGCAGUACACAUACUAAAGCUAAUAUGAUACGAGGAAGAUUAGCAAGGUCUGUACUCAAGGAUGAUAUGAAAAUUCAUGAAAUGUUUCAUAUUUAG